rnacentral:lncRNA from 1 species
ACUAAGUAAUAAACAUAUACAUACAUGCAAAGCAAAUUAAUUGUAAGAGAUUAUAAGUAUCUUAGCCAUUAAUUAACGCGCGUUAUGUAAUUCGCAAAAUCGAUUUCUUUCUCUCGCGAGAGAAAGACGAACGGCAUGACAACGAACGUCGACGAAAGCCAGGAUAAUCCGCUGAUUUAUUAAAUAUUUGUUCUCUCUUUCUCUCUCUCUGUCUCUCUUUCUCUUUGCGGUCCUCCUUUAUCGACCUCGCGAUUCCCGGAGCACCGCGAGAAAACCACUUCAUCUUCGCAGAGAAAUGUAGAAAUUAUUAUUGCAUAAGCUAUGUAUGUCCAGUUGAUUAAUACAAAUCGCUCUGAUUUAUUAAUUCGCUCGCCGUUUUCGCGAACAUGCGGAUGGAACAUGCGGAUUCUAGGAAUAACGCACGAGAGAGCGCAGUACAAAAUCGGCGCCGCAACAAUCCACUCCGCGUGCGUGUGUGUGUAUAUAAUUUUCCUCUGUUUUUUUUUUCUCCUUUUUCUUUUAUACUAAACGCCUCCUUCUAAAAAGAGCCUCUUUCCCUCUCGCUACCGCCGCGGUAAUCGUCCGUACUAAAUUCUAAUCUAUCGUACAUAUUUAUACAUUGAGCGCAUAUCGUCAGAGGCGCCGUCGUGACGCCCUCCGCGAUAUAGGUAUGUGUGUAACAAUGUGUCGUUACACGUCGUUUUACAUGCAUGAACGCGGGACUCUGAACUUCCUCUCACUUCUUCGGAGUCACCCGUUAUCGUGCGGCGCAAGGACUCGUCGUUAUAUAGAUGUAAAAAUAAACGAUGAAACGAGGGAAAAACCCGUGCGAUCGCGUUUCGGUCUUUGAUCGUUUUUCAACGAGAAAGCGAAUCCUCUCUCCCUUUCUUUUUCUCUCUCUCUCUCUCUCUCUCUCUCUCGAUCUUAUUACAUUUCUUGUACAACGACGGAGGUACGAAAAAUGUUAGGCUUCUAAGUCCUCACGCAUCGAAAGACGAUCGUUUAUGGACAACGACAGCGGCCAAGUGCGUCUUUCACACUCACGUACGCAGGAUAGCGAUAAGACGGUCGGAGGAUAUCAGUGUCCUUGGCGAUUGUUAAUUAAAAAUCCAUUCUUUAUUCAGUAUUUAUUAUUAUAUAUCUCUAUGUGAAGGGGAUUAAUUGUUAUUGGAGAUCCACAUUUUACAAAGUAUGCUUCUUCCUUUUUUCUCGUUCUGUAUAUAUAUAUAUAUCUCUCACACACAAAUACACAUAUACACACGCACAUACACAUAUACACACACACACUCUCUCUCUUUCUUUCUCUCUUGUAAAAAUGUUCAUCGCGAUCUCGUGAAAAAGGUGUAUUUGAAAACGCACAGGUACAACACACGCAGUGUUUUUCUCAAGUAAGUGAUGCGUAAACUUUAUUUCGCCAAAAUCGUGCAAUGAUGUAAUGCAUUUAUGUAUAAAUAUAUACACACAUAUGUAUAACUCUUGUGUCUCACGGUACUUCUUCCUUCAUUCGCGUUACCUUAAGUUACUCGUUGCGAUUAGAGUAAGAUGCGUGUUAAAAUCCUUAUGAACUAGGUGAAAAGAGACGGGAAGAAAAAAAAAGGAUGCGAGGAUGCCGACCACGUACAGUGGAAAAAACGAGCAGAACGAACCGGUGACUGCUCGUCGCGGACUUUAGUCCCAUUUAGUCUCGUUUCAGGCUUGUGUCGCGAUGAAAAAGAGCUUUCAGAAACGGCAAAAAAUGUGUCGGAAAAAUUCCCGCGUGAACUCUCGCUAAAUUCGAGCGUAAUUGAAAAGAAAAAAGCACGACUGGGACUAAAGUACACACGACGAAUAUGAAGUUAUCGAAUCAACGGAAGCCGAGUGGAAUUUUGUUUUUUUUUAGUCUCUCUUUAUCUUUCGCCGAAUUGGAUAUCGUAAAGUCAAUUAGGAUGGAUCACACGUGGGCGUGAGCAGAAGAGAUCGCCGUUUUCCAAAUUGGGAGCUUACAUCGUCUUACAGCUGCGUUGAUGCAAACGGCGCUGUAAAAAGGGGCCUCCAUCCACCUCUUUGCGCAUCAAACAAUCUACAAGCCGGCGGAAAAAAAUAAAAAUGGAAUAUAUUUUCGAAACUCUUUCUUUUAAUAAUCAUAUAACAAUACUCGUUAUUAUAUAUUCACGAUCAACAUACAUUACUCUUAUCUAGGCUGCAAAUGUUACAUAAAAAAGAUAUCCGUGUUGUGUUUUCUAAAAUUAUAAAAACGACGGUAGCAAAAAGUCUCGGAACGUGACGGCGUCGCACGCCGUCGAGGGGGGAUGGGGGUGACGUCGCGUGCGACGUUACGUUUUCUCUUUUAACGCUAAAAAUGAUGGGUAAAAAAAAAGAGGGGGGAACGACGGCGAGAGAUGUAUAAAGUGUAACUAAAGUUUGUCCUAAGUCACUCUGCGGUUCUUCUCGGUUCGUCGGGAGGUAAAGACGUUUCUCACAAUCGUCACGCGAAUCGUUUCAAAAAUUAUUAUACACAUUAUAUAUAACAUAUAAUAGUUAUUUAUAUUAUUCAUGUAAUAUAUAUAACUAUAUCAAUCAUUAUAUAUAGUCAUGCGAAGGGGGGGAGGGUAAGAGGGAGGACCGAACAAUUCGUCGAGCAAAAUGAAGGAACGCACGCAUCAUCGCGUCAUUGUGCAACUCUUAUCACGGGCAACGAGUGCGCUAUCGGAGAGGACGAGAGUGCAACACGACACGAGGAAGAAAGAGGGAGAGAGCGACCGGCUCCCUCUUUUUCACUCGGGUAAUACGCUCAUUGAAAUGGUCGGGAGGGGCGGGGGAGGGGAGAAACGUUACAUUAUGCGUCUCAUUAAUCUUUAAUUAGAUAAUUAAUUCACUAUUUACGAAAAGUCAUAAUAAAAAGUAGUACUCUAUAUAUUCGGUAUCUCAAUUAAUAAUAUUGUAAUAAUAAUUAUCAUAUUCCAAUAGCUUUGUCUGCAGUUAUCGUCUAAAUCGAAUAAUUCAUUAAUUCAUUCAUAAUAUUACCAUCGCGCGCGUGUACGUAUACAGACCGCGGCCUAUAUAUCCUCUUUCGAAAUACGUUCGAUAAAUAUAAAAAAGAAAAAAAAUCGCAUAAUAUUUAUAUAUAUAUUUAUAUAGAUAGCGUUGCAUAUAUAUCAUUCACCUCUUUCUUUCUCUCGCUCGCUCGCUCGCUCGCUCUCUCGCUUACAAUAGUAAAUCUUGCUACGAAUGCCUCGCGUACCAACGUGCCCUUUUCGCGCGCGCGACACCGCGCUCUCUCUCUCCUCGUAAUAUAUUCAAGCAACCAUUCGAGAGAAGGAGAGAGAAUCUUGUACAAUGCCGCCGGUUGCAAGCACCAUUUGAUGGUAUUGUCGAUCGACCGUGUAACGCAAGGGUCGACAUUCGUAGCCUCACUCUUCCUGCUCGCCCUUGCCCGCAUCCAGCACGGAGCGAUCAACGGUGCCGGCUCUGAACGUCGUCCCCAGGGAAAAGAAUCAAUUGCCUUUUCUAUUAUUUUUUUUUUCUUAUCGCGAAAUAAUCGGUAUAUAUACAGAAUUUCCUUCUCUUACUUUUCGUCAAAACAAUCAAUCGGGCGUACAGCAGCGUUGGCACGCGAAGCGUUCAAACUCGACUCGCAACUCUCGCGUAAGAGUUCCGCUACCACAAAGGUACACCACUUUCAGAUUUACAACACUGCCCUAAAAACACAGCCAUACUAAGCCAAAUACUUUUGGGUUUUGUUGUUUACGGUUACGAUCUCUCUUUUGCUAAAAUCGUAUAUUUAAAUCUAUACACUCGAUCACCGUGAUUUUCGCACCUCGUCGCCUCUUCGUCACUUUCCCUAGCAAUUCUCGCUCGUUCCUCGCUCUAUUGUUCGAUUUAAAAAAAAGGGAGGAGGGGGGAGGGAAAUAUAAAAAAAAAAAACAAGGGAAAAAAACUGA